rnacentral:rRNA from 1 species
AGUGAACGCUGGCGGUAGGCCUAACACAUGCAAGUCGAACGGCAGCACAGUAAGAGCUUGCUCUUACGGGUGGCGAGUGGCGGACGGGCGAGGAAUACAUCGGAAUCUACUUUUUCGUGGGGGAUAACGUAGGGAAACUUACGCUAAUACCGCAUACGAUCUACGGGUGAAAGCAGGGGAUCUUCGUACCUUGCGCGAUUGAAUGAGCCGAUGUCGGAUUAGCUAGUUGGCGGGGUAAAGGCCCACCAAGGCGACGAUCCGUAGCUGGUCUGAGAGGAUGAUCAGCCACACUAGAACGGGGACACGGUCCCGACUCCUACGGGAGGAAGCAGUGGGGAAUAUUGGACAAUGAGCGAAAGCCUGAUCCAGCAAUACCGCGUGGGUGAAGAAGGCCUUCGGGUUUUAAGGCCCUUUUGUUGGGAAAGAAAAGCAGCAGAUUAAUACCCCGCUGUUCUGACGGUACCCAAAGAAUAAGCACCGGCUAACUUCGUG